rnacentral:snRNA from 1 species
GGAUGUGAAAGUGAUCUGACUGCCACAUCUGUCACCCUUUUGUUCACCAGGGUUGAUUCACNGAUCUGGAUGCCUAGGCGGGUGCCCCUUUCUUCCUCAUUGCUCCAUGUGUGUCCCUCCCCAGGCUCCAUGCUUGAUGGAAGAGGAUGACCAUCCAAGAGAGAAGAAGUGUUAUGUUUUUAACUGAAGGGUAUUCUUGUAUUGGCCAUGCCUGCAGGCUCCAAGUAAGAAAGAGAACCAAAUGGAGGUUCACAUGUGCAAUAAGAUUAAAGGAAGGCUU